rnacentral:rRNA from 1 species
UACGGAGGGUGCGAGCGUUGUCCGGAAUCAUUGGGCGUAAAGGGCUCGUAGGCGGCCAACUAAGUCAUACGUGAAAUCCCUCAGCUUAACUGGGGAACUGCGUGUGAUACUGGAUGGCUUGGAUUUGGGAGAGGGAUGCGGAAUUCCAGGUGUAGCGGUGAAAUGCGUAGAUAUCUGGAGGAACACCGGUGGCGAAGGCGGCAUCCUGGACCAAUAUUGACGCUGAGGAGCGAAAGCCAGGGGGAGCAAACAG